UACGAAGGGGGCUAGCGUUACUCGGAUUGACUGGGCGUAAAGGGCGCGUAGGCGGCUUGUACAGUCAGGGGUGAAAUCCUGGAGCUCAACUCCAGAACUGCCUUUGAUACUGAAGAUCUUGAGUUCGGGAGAGGUGAGUGGAACUGCGAGUGUAGAGGUGAAAUUCGUAGAUAUUCGCAAGAACACCAGUGGCGAAGGCGGCUCACUGGCCCGAUACUGACGCUGAGGCACGAAAGCGUGGGGAGCAAACAGG
rnacentral:rRNA from 1 species